UAGGGAAUCUUCCACAAUGGACGCAAGUCUGAUGGAGCAACGCCGCGUGAGUGAAGAAGGUUUUCGGACCGUAAAGCUCUGUUGUUGGUGAAGAAGGAUAGAGGUAGUAACUGGCCUUUAUUUGACGGUAAUCAACCAGAAAGUCACGGCUAACUACGUGCCAGCAGCCGCGGUAAUACGUAGGUGGCAAGCGUUGUCCGGAUUAUUGGGCGUAAAGCGAGCGCAGGCGGAAGAAUAAGUCUGAUGUGAAAGCCCUCGGCUUAACCGAGGAAUUGCAUCGGAAACUGUUUUCUUGAGUGCAGAAGAGGAGAGUAGAACUCCAUGUGUAGCGGUAGAAUGCGUAGAUAUAUGGAAGAAUACCAGUGGCGAAGGCGGCUCUCUGGUCUGCAACUGACGCUGAGGCUCGAAAGCAUGGGUAGCGAACAGGAUUAGAUACCCUGGUAGUCCAUGCCGUAAACGAUGAGUGCUAAGUGUUGGGAGGCUUCCGCCUCUCAGUGCUGCAGCUAACGCAUUAAGCACUCCGCCUGGGGGAGUACGACCGCAAGGUUGAAAC
rnacentral:rRNA from 1 species